rnacentral:misc_RNA from 1 species
AAGACUAUAGACCUGCGGAGUACCUGCGGAAGGAUCAUUAACGUAUCUAUGAUGGGGUGCGGAGCGCCCUGCUCCGGUCGAACGGCCGUGCAGCGGGUGCGCCUCCCCCGUCCCACCUCACAAACCCACUGUGAACAUUCACCGGUGGAGGGGGCUCGGUCUGCGCCGUGUCCCCGAUGCCGAAUACCCAAACUCCAGUUGCAAAGAACGUCGUGCGGACUCGGUGCCGCCUAAAACAUG